rnacentral:rRNA from 3 species
UCUAAACGACUCUCGGCAACGGAUAUCUCGGCUCUCGCAUCGAUGAAGAACGUAGCGAAAUGCGAUACUUGGUGUGAAUUGCAGAAUCUCGUGAACCAUCGAGUCUUUGAACGCAAGUUGCGCCCGAAGCCAUUANGUUGAGGGCACGCCUGCCUGGGCGUCUC